rnacentral:sRNA from 1 species
UUUUUAAUAAGGAUGAAAAUCUGUUCCAGAAGAUUUUGCCUUGAGUCCCAUUGGCUAAAACUGGGUUCCAUGCCUGUGCCCUAGCUGCAAGGGAUGCUGGGAAUCUGAGUAUCUAGCACUUCCUCCUGGACUGUGGCAAGCUGACUCUGCCAGGGUGACAAUGGGUGUUCAUAGACAGCUUGCCCAUGUACAGUGGGGAAUGGAAGAGUCCUGUACUCUCCUCCUCAAUGCCUGUGUCUCUCCCACCGCUCAGGUCAGAGGAUUCCCAGCUCCCAACCCCGCAGCCAGCCAGCCCAGAGCCAGGAGACAAGAGUAAUGAACCUGAAGAUGCUGGGACCAGAGACCCAGACCCCACUCCAGAGGGAGCCUGGCAGUCAGACAGCAGCUCUGGAAGCAGAGCCCUGGAUGAAGUGGACGAGCAGCUGUUCCGCUCCGUGGAGGGCCAGGCCGCCUCUGACGAGGAGGAGGUGGAGGAGGAGAGGUGGCAGGAGGAGAAGACGACGCCGGCAGCGGAGGCCAAGACACUGCUGGCCCGGCUCUCCAGCUGCAGAGGCAGGUGUGAUGACCAGACGGCGGAGAAGCUCAUGACUUACUUUGGUCACUUCGGCGGUGCCGACCAUGCCCAUACCCUGGGGGAGCUGGAGGCCUGCAUUGCCAUGCUGGUGGAGCAGCUGAGGACUCAGGGCUGCGGUGGGAGGACCCUGGGGACCUCUGGGGAGGAGGCAGAGUUGCAGCAGAAGGUGGAAGAGAAUGAGCACCUGAGGCUGGAGCUGCAGAUGGUAGAGACCGAGAGGGUGCGGCUGUCCCUGCUGGAGGAGAAGCUGGUGGACGUGCUGCAGCUCCUGCAGAGGCUCCGGGACCUGAACAUAUCGAAAAGAGCCCUGGGGAAGAUUUUGCUGAGCACGCUGGACGCUUUCAGGGACCCCACCCACGAGGGAAGGCCCAGCCCUGCAGCCAUCCUGGAUGCCCUGCACCAAGCCUUGGCUGCCUGCCAGCUGUUGCGGAGACAGCCCUCGGCACCAGCCUCUGCAGCAGCUGCGCUCACCAACCCCCUCCUCGUCUCCUGCUGAGGUUACUGGCCCACCCUGUGGGCACCCUGCUCAGCCUGACUGCCUUUGGACCAGCCUCCAUGAUCAGCCCAACCACUGACAGCUGGUCUGACCACCGUCACAUCAUCAGAACUUGAGUCUCUGCUGGCUCCUUCCAAGGUUUAGCCCGAGCCCAGAGCCUCCCAUUGCAGCACCUGGCAGCCACCCCUUCCUUGGGCUCCUCCACAUUACCUCGCAGCCCCUGCAUUCCUGCCACCAGAGUCCACAUUAAAGCCCUGCAGUUGCUGGAUCAGCCUGCACCUGAUGCUGUAUCUUUCCCCUGCCCUCAGGGCAGAGAUGCCCACUUUCUGACUGAGUCUGACCCCAAAUCUCUUCCCCAGAGUUUCAGGAUCUCCUCCCCUCCCAGCACUGUCUCCUUCCUCCCACCGGCAUGCCUGCUGCAAGGGAGACUGGGCCCAACCUUUGGGAUACCUGGUCUGUAGGAAAGCACUCCACACCCCAGGAAAUGUUGAUGACUAGGAAAGGCUGAGGGAAUUCCAAGGAAGGAACAAUCACUGUAGGCUCCCUGGUAGAAGCUGGCCUUGAACCAGCUCUAGAGGACAGGUAGGAUUUAGACAGGUAAAGAAAGGAGGGAAGGGCAUAGAAUCUAAGGUAAUGGCAAGAGCAAAGGUGUGGAACCAGAGGGGGGCCCCAGGAAUGCAGUGCUUGGAGCCCCUGCUCCUGAACACGCAUUAACUCCUGAACUGCGAGCCCCUCCUCCUGAACUGCAUCAUGGGGUUGCAGGAAGGAGUAGGCCAAGAUACCCAGUCUCACCUAACUUAGACUGUCAUUAGAGAGAAAGAUCCAUUGCCAAACAGUGCCAUGGGGGUGAAACCAGUGCUAAAUGGAGAUAAAAUAAAGUGUUGUAAGAGCCC